rnacentral:rRNA from 1 species
UACGUAGGGUGCAAGCGUUGUCCGGAAUCAUUGGGCGUAAAGCGCACGUAGGCGGUCCAGUAAGUCGGGUGUGAAAGCCCUCGGCUCAACCGAGGAAGUGCAUUCGAAACUACUGAACUUGAGUAUGGAAGAGGGUCGCGGAAUUCCCGGUGUAGAGGUGAAAUUCGUAGAUAUCGGGAGGAACACCAGUGGCGAAGGCGGCGACCUGGGCCAAUACUGACGCUGAGGUGCGAAAGCGUGGGGAGCAAACAGG